CCUUGUUGUUAUUAUCAGACUUGUUGCAAGGUUGUUCCCACAAGUCCGAUACAGCCAUGACAUAGCAAUAUUGUUACAACCAUGUGUCAUCAACCUUGUAACAUUCUUGUUAUAUCAUAUGACUGUAUCAGACUUGUUAGAACAACUUUGCUAUAAGUCUGAUAAUGUCAUCAAGC
rnacentral:miRNA from 1 species